rnacentral:lncRNA from 1 species
AAAAAAAAAAACUCUCUUAAUGAGAUUCUAACCUUGGCUUUACCCCUUUGAGAGAGAUUCAUUUGAUUUUGCAUAUGUUUAUGGUAAAUUAUCAGUGCUUACAUCAAUUUGGUUUUGUUCCCAGUCUAGUACAAUUUUAAAAGUAAAUUUUGGAAUUGGACAAAUAAUUAUUUUUUGAAAAUGAGUAAAUCAUAUAUGAAUGAUACAAUUCAAUCAUUAAUGAAAUCGCCAAUUUAAAGUAUGAGUUUGUAAAAAUGAAAAACUCAUACAUUUCGUAUACCAUUUUAUCUAUGAAAUAUACGUUUUUUAAUUUAAAAUAAUAAGAACAUGCAGAAUUAAAAAAAUUUAAAAAUGAAAAUCUUAAUGAGGUUUACAUUUUUGCAGAGAAAUCGUAUACCUCCUUUAUGUUUUUAAGUUUCGUUUUUUAUUAUAUAUAAUUAAAAAAUAUGUAUAAAAUAUUUCUUAACUAAAUAAGUUUUUAUAAAAUAUUUUAUUAUUAUGUAUAAUUAAAGAAUAAUAACUGAAUUUCAUAAAAUAUUUGUUUAUUAUAUAUAAUUAAAUAAUAACUGAAUAAGUUUUUAUAAAUUAUUUUAUUAUUAUAUAUAACUAAAUAAUCACUGAAUUUUUAGAAAAUACUUAUUUAUUAUAUAUAAUUAAAUAAUAUUUGAAUAGGUUUGUAUAAAUGAUUUUAUUAUUAUUAUAUGUAAUUAAGGAAUGACUGAAUUUGUAGAAAAUAGAUUUUUAUUAUAUAAUUAAAAAUUAAAUAUAAAUUUUUUUAUUUUUAAUACAUUCAAAUUUAUUUUAAUUUUUUAAUAAAUUCAAUGAUAUAAUAUUUUAAUAAAAUAAAAAAAUAUAAAUAAAUUAUUUUAAAAAAUAAUUAAAUUAGAUCUAUUUUAUAUGAUAAAAUAUGAAGUUAUAUUAAUUUAUAUGUCUAUUGCUUCAAGUUUCAUUUUAUUCCAAAUUUCUAAUUUCACAAAGAAAGAUAAAUGAAGAGAUUUCUGUUGUUAUACCAUGAUUUAAUUUCUGUACAAAGGACAUAAGCGAAAAGAUGAAAGACAUUAAUUUAAUUUUAAUCUAAGGAUUCAGAUUGUAUGUUCUCAUUUUUAUAACCCUAAACCCUAAUUUAUAUAAUUAAUUUCAUAUUAUAUAUUUUAAAAAUAAAAUAAAUAAAAAAAAUAAAAAAUAAUUAUAAUCAACAAACUAAAUCGAAUGAUGUGUGAACAACCAAUCUUUUUCAGUGAAACUAUUUUGAGCGAGAUUAAGAGUGCGGGAAAUAGAGAGAGAAGAUAUUGAAAUAAGAGAGAGAGAAAUUUCGCAGAGAAGAACAGAGUUUGAUUUGAUUGUGUGGUGAGAGCAUGGACGAAGAUCAAAUAGAAGGCUGUGUGAGUGGGUACCUCAAGCAGAAAGGGUUUGCGCAAAACGAUGACCAACUUCAACUUUCCAACACCGAUUCCUCUCUUCAACCCGACACUCUCAAUCGUGCUCAGUAUUCAUUCUCUCUUUCUAUUUCGUUUCAAUUUUCCUUUUCAAUUUAUGUCAAAUUGCAGUACUCCAUCACCUUUCAGUUGCUAUGUCUCUUAAUUUAAACCCUCCUGCUUAUGAAGAUUAUGUUUGUUAUCAGAGUUUAAAAUUAGACAUCAAAUCGCAUAGUGUUAGUGUCACUCGUGAAACCAUUAUAAUUAGGACUCCCAGAUGCCAAGAGUUUUAAGACUACGGCCUAUAUUGGAUUUAUAGUUGGUUGGAGGUGUUGGUGGGUUUGUCACGGCCUGUAGCUGGUGCAAGAUGGAAAGGACAUAUGUAUUUUGAUGGUUUUGUAGCUGUAGUUUGCAGUGCUCAUAACAUUCCAAUACGAGCUAGCUGGAAUAGGAUGUCUAACUUAUGCAGCAAACAUUAUCUUUCUAUUGCUUAUGGGGUGUUUGUUCAUCUCUUUAUUCUUGGAGAUUCUUAAUGUGGUUUGGUUUAUGUAAAAGGGUUGAGAUACCUCUUUUGUAUCCCUCUUAAUUUAAUUUCAUUUUUUGCUGCAAAAAAAAAAACAACUCGUGAAACCAUGGAGCUACUGUCAAUAAUCAAAGCAUACACGAAAUUGCUUUUUUUUAUUAUAUAUAUAGAUAGAUAAAUAUAGAUAUACAUAUAUGAUUUAUUUGUUUCAUGUCUAAAGUGACAUCACCAAGAAUUGAAGCUUGAAUCACUUAAAGUUGAGUAUACUCACUGCUUAAUUCAUGCGAGGUAUGUUAUGGUAUGGCUGAGAGAUGUCUUUGUCCUUCAAGCAUGUGAUUAGAGUUUGAUUUCUAGGCCUGUCUGAACGGAAAAAGUUUUGUUAGGAGUGUUGGGUUUUUCGAGGAGAGAUUUGUCACUAAUGAGCCUUGAGUAAACUCAUACAAUGAGACUAUCUUUUAUCCAAAGCUUUAAGACAAUGAGUUUGUGAUUCUUUCUUCUUGUAUAUUGCUCAUCUUGCUCAUUUCUCACUAAUGUAGGACUUCUAACUCUCACUUGAAUUUCUAAUGAGGCGAGAUAAGCUUCAUAAUUAUAGAUAGGAAUACCAUGAGUGAUUUGUCUUCAACUACUGGGAGGAAUACUCUGGAUUCACUGAAAAAAACACUUAAACAUUUCAAUUAGAAAUUUAGUUUUAAAUUGUUACAUGUCAAUGAAAUUGCAGCCCACCUUAGGGCCUAAGAUUUGGGUUAUUUCAUAUUUUGAAGAUGCAUUGAGUGCUCUGAAAAAUUUAGGAAUUUGUGAUCUGAUGGUGCAUUUCUAAUCAAUAGAGUUAUCCUUCCUCAUUGCUACAUGUUACUAAUUUCUUUGGCAUAAACAGUCUUGCUCGCUCUUCUAUGUUAAUUCAGAGGACUUCAAUGCAAAUUAUGUUAAAAGGGAUAAGUGUGUAGGUUUACUUUUGUGAAUGAGGUAGAAAAAAGUUAGUAAAUUAGUUUGGCUUUUACAAUAUUUUAAUUGUUUCAAUUAGGAAAUAUAUGAAUUAAUCAAGAGGAUGAAACGGACAGUUAGUUUGAUUGGCCUAUUUUAAAGUGUGUUUUUAAGCCACAAGUGUUAUCUGUUCUUGACUUUUUUUAGCAUCUCACAAGAAAACUAUUGCACAAAUAUGAUUUCAAAUUCUAUUGUUUUCCUUUAAAAACAGUUAGCAAGCAUAUAAGCUGAAGAGGAGGUUUACGUGUUUUCUUAGAAUAUAGUCAUCAGUUUGCACUAAUCAUACACUAUAUUACCCUUUCAACACAAAUCUUUUCAGGAAUAUUUUUUUUGAAUGAAAACCCUUUAUUUUGCAGAUUGGAGAGAGGUUCCGCUAGAUACCAUGAUGGGUAUGGAAGACUAAGAUCAUGGGCAUACAGAUCACUUGAAUCAUACAAGGUAGCAUGCCGUUUGGUUACUGUCUUGUUUAAAGUUCAAUUACAAAAUUGCUAUGUUUCAAUUUCUUACAUAUGGAUUGCCACUUCUUUGCAGCAUGAGUUGCUGCGUGUGCUUUAUCCAGUAUUUAUCCAUUGCUUCAUGGAUCUUGUGUCAAAAGGGCAUCUUCAGGAAGGUAUGAAAUAUUUAUUCACACAGACAUUUAACAAUAAUUAUUUAUAAUAUUUUUGAUGGAUUUUGAAGUUCCUAAUGUGGCCAUCAGUGCAACAUGUGUUUUAUGCUUCUGUUUACAUGAUUCAUGAUUCUGUUGGAUAUACUCAGCUUGGAACUUUUUCAAUACCUUUCGUGAAGACCAUGAAAUGAUGCACUCACGGGACCUUCAGAAAUUGGAACUAGUUCUUUCUCCUGCUCAUUUGGUGGUUGGCUGCUGUCUAAAAUAUGAUAUCUUUUAUAUGUUCUUCAAUAUUGUUAGAUAGCUAGCACUAUAUAAUCCUUCAAUAUUGUUCUUUCUCAGGAAAUGGAAUUCGCUCAUUCCCUUAGGCAGAGUAAGUUCAACAUAAAGAUAUGUCGGGUAAUGUCUUUAUUUACCUAGAUUCGUUUGUUAAUAUGCUUUAAUUGAACUGUUUUUUCAGUAACUCCUUUCAGUACUCAUUAGAUUAAAUAUUUUUUUCAGUUAGUUUCAUAAUCCAUGAGAAUUUGGGUAGAACUUUUGUUCCCCUUUCAGGCUUCUUUUUCUGUGUUUUACUAUUCUCCCAUGAUUUUAUUUUUUAUUAAUAUUGAUGAUGCUUUUCUCUUUGGAAAAAUGUUUGGCCAUUAGCAUUUGAUUUGCAGUUUCUGAAAAAAGAAAGGGUAUACAUAAAGACCAUUUGUUGGCUUAUUUAUAGUUUUGUUAAGAAUUUUCACCACUGAGGUCAAUUACAUCUACGUUCUCUAUAUAUUUAAAAAUCUGAUAGAUAAUGUUUUGGACUUCUGGCAGUAUUCUUAUGAGCUUCUACUGCAACAUCUACAUAGUAUGCAAUCAAGCACAAUAAUUGGUAUUAUCAAUGAGCAUGUUGGCUUCCAAGGUACUUUUCCUCAUUUUAAGUUGUGUGUUAAUUCUGUUCAUUUACUUGCCAGUUUUGCAUUAAUUUCAUUUUUGUUGCACUGCAGUUACAGCUGGACAACCGAGCUCAAUUUCUGAUGAUCCAGAAGCUGUUACCCUCAGUGGAAGCAUCCAGGAUGCAGCAAACAAGAUAAAUCAGAAAGAAAUACUCUGGGGGGUGAGUUCUUUAAUUGUUUACGAAGCUAGGCAAUAUUAUAAAGUUAUCUUGCUCUUUUUGUUUCAAUGCAUCCGAGUUUCUUAUUUUUGCAAGCUUUUGUUGUAAUAAAAAGUGUAUUAUAAUAGCAUUUAUAAAUUAUAAUACCUAAACUUUCAAAGACUUAAAAAUUGCUUACUUUUAUGCAUUUCACAGUUUUAAUGCCUUGAACAACACUCUGUUGAACUUUGACAUCUGUUACAUCCUUUGUCAUAAUUUCAUCACUGUACUUGGGUUAUUGUGUGGAAUACUAAUUAUUAAUGAGCAGAUUCUUUGAUUGGGCCAGAUUUAGAGUUGUGCCUUGUUUUCCAGGGUGGGAGCAAUGGCUCCUCCAAAAUUUUAAAAACUACACAAUUUUUAUUUCCUUUCCUUUCGUAUGAUGUGUUUGAAGGGGAUUGAAAUGGCUGUUAGUUUCAUUUAAUAGUAUACAAAAUUACUUAGUAAGUGGACUGACUUGUUUUGAGUGAUGGUUGAUUAUUGGAUAUGUACCCAAUAUGGUAUUGCAACCAUUUAGAACAAUUCAUUCAGCGUAUACUUCCAUUGGGGUUGUUAUGUGUUUAAUUUGGACUGGCAGUUCUGGUGGUGUUGUUAAAAUACAGAUUUAGGUAUAGAGGGAGACAGAGAUAAAAGAGAAUAAAACACUAAUUUUAUUAAUUGAGAUGUAUUACAAUGUAUUGAUGCAUUACAUACGCUCACAAAACCUGCAGAACUAACCUCUAUUUAUACUAAUCAUAAUCUAACUAAUUUAGGAAGCAAAUAUUGAUACGGUGAGAAAAUAUGGUAACCAAUCCUAAAAGAUAACGAGGAAACUAAUCGUAGAGGAUAAUCUAAGAAAUGAUAACAUAAUUUUAUAUAUUCUAAAAGUUAUCAUUCAGUUCAGAGACUUAUUAUUGGAUUCAAAGAGCUUGAGUGACUUUUCUGAACACUCAGCUGAACUAUUUUAUAUUAUAUAUUAUGUAUGUGUGUGUGUGUGAAAGCCAAAAUGAGCACACUAAGAGAAAGAAACCAAGAACAGAUCGUGGCAUUUAUGGCAGCAGGCUACAAUCAGAAUAGAGUCUCAAAAAUAGGAAUUGUGUAGACAAUAAGGCAAAUAAUAUUAUAUCAAACAUAAAUCUAAGCUCUCCCUCAAGCUAGAGUAUGCAUUUUGUAUCCCCCAAGCUUGGACAUAAAUUAAAUUUGAGUCCCUUUCUAAGACUUGGUCAAGACAUCUGCAAGUUGAUCACUUAGCUGAUAAAUUUGGUAGAAAUUUCGUAGGACAAUAGCCUCUCCCGAAUAAAAUGACAGUCAAUCUCUAUCUACAUGCUUAGUUCUUUCAUAGAACAUUGGAUUAAAGGAAACUUGAAAAACUGUUUAUUACCACGAUUGUUGAAUAUCACAAAAUUUUAACCCUUGAAGUUGUUUAUCCACACCAAUUGGCCAUAGCUCUUUACUCUAUUUUUGCACUAGAUUGAACAACAAUGUUUUGUUUAUUAUUCUUCCAAGAGAUAAUAUUUCCUCCGGUGGAAAUACAAUAUCUGGUGGUAGAUCUCUUGUCCACGGGACAUUCUACCCAAUCAACAUCACAUCACUAUCCAAAAAUUUGGGUAUCUUAGUUAUCCUUGUACAUUAGACCUUGACUUAGAGGCUCUUAAUAUACCCAAGAAUCUAAAUCACAACAUUUGAUCAAUAUGAGCUGCCUACAUGAAUUGACUAAAAAUCCCAACAAAAGAAAUAUCAAGUCUUGUAAUUGCAAGAUAAAUGAGUUUCCCCACCAAUAUUCUAUCUCUUUGGUUCAGAAUAUGAUUCACCUUGCUUUGUUGUUAACUUCUUAUUUGGGUUCAUAGGAUAGUAGGACUAUGAAUGAGCCUAUAAUCAGUCAUGUUUGUCUCCUCCAAAAUAUUCAGAGCAUACUUUCUCAAUGAAAUGACAAUGCCUUCCUUGGAUUGACCCACCUCUAUUCCAGUAUUUUAGGUAGCCAAAUUCCUUGGUGUGGAAGUUACUAAAUAAGUUGUUUAAACUAUGAAAUUUUGGUGGCGUUAUCCCUAUAAUGAUUAUAUCUUAUCAUCAACAUAGAAAACUAUAGUACAAGACUAAGUGAUCUGCUUCAUCAAUCGACUCAAUUUUGUACAAUGUCUGCUAAACUUUCCAAACCAAACUUUUGGAGAUUGUUUAAGUUCAUAGAGAGAUAAAUGAAGUUUACAAACUGCAUUUGACUCUAGCUUGGAAACAAAAUUAAGGAGGUUGUGUCAUGAAAGUUUGUUCUUCCAAUUAACCAUGAAGGAAAGCAUUUUAAAAUGUCUAAGUGAUGAAAAUGCCAAUGACGAAUAACAACCAUUGCUAGAAAGAAACAAACUAUAUUGAUUUUAGUUGAAAGAAAUAGAUGAAAUGUAUGUCUGAUGUGUUUUACAAAUGUGAUUACAGUCUCAAUUUAUAGACUGUUUACAACCUAAUUAAGGAAGGAAAUAAUAGGUAAUGAAAGCAAGAAAUAAUGGGUGAUUAAAGCUGUACAAAUCAAAUCAGAUCACUAACAAAUUUGUCCUAAUAAAUAAAGAAUAAAUUCUGCACUUAUUCUCCUGAUUAUGCAACAAUUUUUGCCACAAGGCCAAAAGUAUACCCUUACUAAGACCAUAUAUCUAGGUAUACACUUUAGCCACUAAUUGGGCUUGAAGACGUUGAGUCUCACCAUUAUAACUAACUUUAAUAGCAUUAUACCAAUUUGCAACAAACUUCCUACUUCUCUUGAGGAAGUGGAACGAUCUCCCAUGUACAAUGUGUUCAAGAGUUUUCAUUUCAACAAUCAUGACUUUUGCUAGUGUUUCACAAAAUUCUUUCGUUUGAAAGAGAAGGGUUUGUGUCAUAUUAAGGAGAUUACUGUUUUUUCUUUUAGCAAUGUCAUUUUGUUGUGGUGUAUACACACAUUUGACUUCAUGAACAAUACCAUUUUCAGAAAGGAAUUUAGACAUGUCAUGAUUUACAUAUUCCCUCUCAUUAUCAAAACACAAACGUUGAAUUGACUUUCCAAAUUCUGUGUUUAUUACAUGGAAGAAUUUGACAAUGAAGUAAAAACUUCAAAUUUUUCUUUCAUGAGGAAAAUCAAUGUGACACGGGUACAACCAUCAAUAAAAGUGACAAACCAUUUAACACUAGAUAGACUAGAAUUUGGUGUAGGCCUCCAUAAAUCAAAAUGAACAAAUCAAAAGAAUGAACACUUUUUGUAUUACUAGAAGGAUAUGUGACGUGAUGAUGCUUUUCAAAUUGACAUACAUCGUACUUGAAUGACUUGACAAACUCUUUGAAAAAUAAAGAAGGAAACAUGAAUUUUAGAACAUAAAGACAUGUCCUAAACGACAAUGGAGAAGUCAAUUUUGAGAGGUUUUAAAAAAUAGUGCAAGAUUGGAGGUAAGAGGUAGCCAUUUGUCUAUUGAUAUUGUCCAUGGUUCUCAAGUUUUUAAGGCAAUACAAGAUCCUGAAAAACACAAUGAGAAGCAUAGAAGAUUACUCAACAAUUUAGGUCAUGAGUAAUUUUUUUGAACUGAAACAAAGUUAUUAGAAAGUUUCGGCAUCUUUAAGGAUAGAUGACAAAAGAGAGAUAUUGUCAUGUCCAAUUAUUAGGACAGAAAUCCCAUUUGCCAUUUGCCAUUUGCAACAAUAAUGGUGAUAUCAAAGGGGAGUUGAACACUAGAGGAGGUGAAGGAAUUGACUUAAAAGGGGAGUUGAAGGAGGUUUCAUCACUUCCAAUCGUGGCAAAUAAGGAGGAUGAUAUCAACUAUGAUGCACACAUGUAGGAGGUACAUCUUCCCAAAUGAGGGAACUCUAGUAGGUAAGAAGACAUACUCAAGAUGAGAAAUUGGAACUAAAGAACAUAAUGAACUCAGAUAAUGUAACAUUAGUUGAACCUAGAUAACAUGAGUUAGUGAGUAGAAUUUACAAUCCCUGUGAAACCUUGUGUAGCCUAAGGGAACACAAUUAUGAGAGUGAAUAGAAGUCUGUCUACCCCAUGAUUGAGAUUAUGAACAAAACACGUGGUCCCAAAUGGGCCAUAAGGAAUGAUGAGGGAACAAGAUUGAAUGUCAUGUUUUUUAAAAAUAGAUGAGAACAUCAGAUUGGUAAGAUAGCACACUGUGGCACAACAUAACCCCAAAAAUGACAAGGAAACAUAUUUGAAGAGAGCCUCAGUGGUUUCAGUAAGGUGCCUUAUUUGACUUUCAAAAUUCUCAUUUUGCUGAAUGGUAUGAUCUCAAGAUGUUUAAUGAAGAAGCCAUGUGAAGCCAUUAAUUAAAUAUUGAAACGAGUGACAAAUAUCUUUGGAUAUUAUCACUAUGUAAAUUGCAGAUGGGAACACUGAAUUGAUUUACUAUUUCAUGGUAAGAAUAUUGAGAGACAGAAAACAGCUUAGAUCAAUGUAUCAUUGGAAACUACAUUGAGAACAACUGCAUUAAUGAAUGUGAUAAAAUAUCUUGACCCUAAUGUGGAUGCAGUAUGACUAGGACAUGGAAUAUCAAAAUGGAAAUGAGACAUAGCACUACAAAGAAAAGAACUAUGAAAAUGUUUUCCUAAUUGAUACUUGACACAAUGGAUAAUUUGGAGAGAGUCAACACCAUUUGACGCAGGAUAAGGGUUACCUAACUGAAAUGUGGAUAUGUAUAGGGGAAUCCGUCAUAGAACAAGCAUGAGUAGAGGUAUUGUGUUGAUAAAGCCCAUGUGACUCUAAUGCCAAUCAUCCACCCCAAACUCCAGUCCAAAAAUGUUCUUCAUUGAAUUCUUUAAUAGACAUAUUUUUCUGAUUUAAUUUAUUAUUAGCUGUUCCAUUAUGGUCUGAUUUCAGUCUCAUUGUAUUUCUCUCAUAGAUGUUUGAAGAUUCUGUAGAAGACCACAUAGAUAAGUCUGGGGCCUUGCUUUCAGGCACAGAAAAGGGUGAAGGUGAGGGCAAAGAGGGAGACAAUGAUGAGAGUAAGGUACAUCUGUUACAAAAGUGCACCCCUGACUCUGUUUCAUGAAUGCUUUUACUGGAUGAUCUGAUACAAUACAUUUCUCAGAAUUUAUGAACUUAUUAAAAGUUUGAGCAUGAGUUCCAUUUGAAUUCAGUGACCGCCUUAAUACUGUAUAUUCUUUGUUUGAUUGUCAAAAAGUGUUAAUUGUUUUUCACUUGUUUCUCUUUUAGAAAAGGUCAAUUGAUGUAGGAAAGCAAGGUAACUCUGUAAAAAAGGUAAAAAAGGAGAAGGUCAGCAGUGCAACAGGGAAAAAUGCUAAACCAGAAGCUAACACUAUAUCUGCAGCACCUCGCAUUAAACCAGAGCUACCCUUGCCCACAGUGUAUUCUCCCUCUCGAGUAUAAUUUUUUUUUUGUAUAAUUGCCUUUGCAUGUGUUGGUUGUAGUUUAAACUAGAAGACUGUAUUUUAAUUUGCAGUGGGAACUGCAGUGCAGAGCCAUAGUUUUGCUCUAUUAGAUAAUAUUAAAGUCAUAGAAAAGCCUUCUAUUGAAGAUAUGUAGUUCUAUUAUGUUGAAUGUUGUAAUAUUAUUCUUGCAGUUCAACUGAUGUAGAACUGUCCAUCCUAGAAGAUUUAAGGAAUCGUGUACAAUUGAGUAGUGUUGCUCUCCCUUCAGUUAACUUCUACACAUUUGUAAAUACACAUAAUGGGUAAUCUCUCAUACUUUGGCAGAACAAGUUUAUUUAUGUUUGGCUUUCUGUUGGGUAACACUUAAAGUUUUUGCUCAACUACCCAGUUUAAGCUGUUCAUCAAUAUCCCACAAUGGAUCAUUGCUUGUUGGAGGAUUUUCUGACUCGUCACUAAAGGUUCUUUCUCUUCAUCCUCCUCCUCUUUCCACCCUUCCAAAGGAACACUUUUUUCCCUUAACAGCUUUAUCUUACCAGAUAAUGUGAACUUGGGGUAAUUAUUAUGACUUGUAUCUGCAGGUCUGGGAUAUGGCAAAACUUGAGCAACAAUCCACCACUUGUAAGUUCAUUGCUUAAAUCCUUCUGUUUAGUAAAUUUGUUGCAUACUUUGCUUUAGAAAUAUGAAUGAUUAGAAACAGGUUUCACUACUAUUAAUUGAAAUGCUCUAGAACAACUUAUAAAACUGACUUCUGUGUAUAUGUGUGCGUGUAGAAAUUCAUGCAAAAUAUAGAGUAGCAUAGCUUCCUCAUGGUGCAUUUCUUUUAGACUUUUGAUUUUAAGAAUUUGUAAGGGGACAAAACUUGGUAUAAAACGUGAAGUAAAACAGUGUGGGUGCACUAUUUUCCCCACAAGUCAUUGGACAUUUUCCAAAAAAUGUUUGGGGUGAUUGAUGAAUCUUUUGGUCUUUUUUCUGGAUUGUGAAGUGGAUCUUAAAUAUCAUUUAAGAGAGUGAUGUCAUUGUAAUUCACACACAUGCAUGCAACAUAUACAGUAGUAUAGCUUCUUUGAUGGUGCAUUUUCUUUUAGAUUUUUCCUUUAAAACUUUUAGGGGAAAAAACUUUUGGUACAAGAAUGUGAUGUAAAACAGUGUGGGUGCACUAUUUGCCGGCUUAAUAGCCUUUUAUUGGAAAUGUUAUCUAGAAAGGUUUGGGGGAUUUAUCUGAUCUCUCUGGGUCUUUUUUCUGGAUUGUGUAGUGGAUCUUAAAUAUCACUUGAGAGAGCGAUGUCAUUGUAAUUUGUGUGCAGUGAAGGUCCUUCACUAAUAUGUUGAUAAUCUUGUCCACCCACAUAUGAAACUGGCUUCUUAAGCUCAAAUAUCAUGUCUAAUGUUAAAACAUUAGGGUGUCUAAAAAAAAUGACUUUUGGAGUUGAACCAAGUCUGAAGGUUCCGUUUUAGCUAAAGUUAAACUGAUAGAUACAAGUUUUUUAGUCUUGAGGAUGAUUUUCAUCUGUUUACUUGUUAUAAUAGUUCAGUCGUUUCUAUCAUCAGAUUUUUCGCACGGAGGGAAUGACACAUCACAAAAUGAACACAUUAUUGGGCAAAAUAGUGGGAGAAGACAGUACACAUUGUUUCAAGGUCAUUCAGGUCCAGUCUAUGCAGCCACUUUUAGUGAAGCCGGGGAUUUUCUUCUUUCCUCUUCAGCCGACAAAACAAGUAUGUUAGUUUGAUCCCAAUUGAAUGAUCUAUUGUUCUUUCCUAAUUCUGUCUUCACCUUUGACAGUUUACUUCGUUGUUUUACAUUCAAUUUUGAGAAAAUAGGAUACUUGACAACUCCUACACAUACACUAACCACCUUCCUUAAAACCAUGAUUUUUUUUUUAUCUUACAUCGACAGUUUAUAGAAAUUAAGCUUUCUAUAUAUUUGUCGUAUUUUUAAUUCUGCAAGUCUUAUUCUGAACCAUGAAUAUACAUUUAUGCAGUUCGACUAUGGAGUACAAAGCUUAAUGCCAAUCUUGUUUGUUACAAGGGUCACAAUUACCCUAUCUGGGAUGUUCAGGUAAAUUCUUAUCAUCUAAAUCUUUCUAACUUCUGUGGAUCUUGUUAAACUCUAGAUUAGAGAAAUAUUGAAACCGUGUAUUUCUGAAACAGCAUGAGUGUUUUAUUUAUAUUAAGAAAAAAUAAUCAAUACAAUAAUAGAAGAGAUUUAAUAUCUUUUAAUAACAAAGAUAUGAUACGGGGAUAAAUAAAAACAUCCUAAUAUAUAAUUUGAUAUUUUUUUAUUAUCUAAGAUCAACUCCUUAUUUUUAUAAUUAUAACAUAGGUGAUGACAUUGAACAACGCACCAUAUACUCUUAAGGAUAAUUUGAAAUUUAAAUAUUUAAAUGUAAUUGAUGUGGUGAUGCCAUAUGACUUUUAGAGAAGUUGUAUAGUUACAAAAAAUUAUGUAACAAAGAGAGAUAAGGAAGAGAAGAGAGAUAGUGUGGGAUAAGAUGGUUGAUGGGAUGCAGAGAGAAAGUAAAAAAAGAUAAUGUAAAAGAUGUAAUAUCUAGAAGUACUUUGCAGUGUACUCUCUUCGAAAUAUACACCUUGCAUCUUUGUUCAACACAAAGUAUGAGUAUCUUUGAGGGAAUUCUUUCUCUCAAGUUUUAUCUCUUGAGCUUAUGAAGGUUUUCUUCUCUACCCAGUAGAUAUUUUGUUUCUCAGCUUUCCUUUUGCCUUAUUCUAUUUAAUUUUUGAUUCAUUACUGUCUGUAUUUACAUUCUAGACUGCUACAUUAUUUUUUUUCUGGUGCAGUUUAGUCCAGCAGGGCAUUAUUUUGCCAGCUGUUCACAUGACAGAACUGCCAGGAUUUGGUCUAUGGACAGAAUAAAACCUCUAAGAAUAAUGGCAGGACAUUUGUCAGAUGUUGAUGUGAGUUUUAGCAGUUAUUUUUUUUCUUCUAUUGUGCUUGUCCUAAUUUUCUUCAGAUUUUAUAUCAUCCACUAGUUGAUUACAAUUUUUUAUUUACGUAGUGAUUGGUCCAGAAAUUCAUAUACCUGUUCAAGUUACUUUGUUCUGUUAGCUUAUAUUAAUGUGAGAAGCAGCACUUUUAAAGAAACACCUUAUACUAAAUUGAAGUGUGAAUUGAGUUUGUUGUCCGGGUCCUAGGCCCUCAAGCUACAAAUUAAAGAGAGAUUAUCAAAAUAAAAAUUGUAUAUGCCAACUCACCUAACAUUUUUAGCCUUUUGGUUCGAUUAUGUAAUUUAUUAUGCUUCUCAAGGAAAUACAGGACAAAAUAGUCACUAAAAUGUUUGGCGACCCUGAGUUCACAUGGCAAUUAAUUCCCUUGGUCUUUCAAGAUCAAGUGGCCACUGCUGAAUGGGGCCUCUGCAUCCGUUCUUCCUUGGAUCCUAGUAGGGUCUCCCUAGUUACCACAAUAAUAAUCAAAAUACUGAUGAUGAUGAUGAUGAAUAGAGGUGUUAAAUCUGCAUUUCUUCUCCUCAUUGAUGGGGUAAAAUUAGAUGAGAGUAAAAUAAUUAUAUACAGGUGUUGGUUCUUAUUUUAGAUAAAUGAAGAAUUUAUAAAAAAAUAUGUCAAAACAAGUGUAUCAUCAGGGAUGUUCUUAUGGUUACAAAGAUGAUAAAACGAGAGAGAAAGAAAUCAACACUCUGAAAUGGUUUUGCCUCAAGUUUUUCUUAGCUCCCCUCUUCCUCAAGCAAUUGGGGCCACACGUCCAGACCACCUAAGCUGAAUUUCUACCAUCUUUUCUACAAUAGGUGCUAGUUUUUCUCUAAUACAUUCAUUACUAAUCUGAUCGUGCCCAUAUGCUCACUCAUUCAACACAACAUUCUCACCUAUGUAUGUUUAUUUUGUUCUUCUGUUGGUUUUUUCUACCCAACAAUUACCUCCACACAACAUGCUUGCCUUAGUUGUGUGAUAAAUUUUUCCUUGACAUUUGGCUCUUAGAUAUUUGAAUCAAUUGACAAUCCUGCAUUUAUUUAUUUUCUUUUUUUGUUGAGGGGGUCCAUAAUUGUGUUGACUGCUUACUCAUUCCCUUAUGGAUUACUUUUUUCUUAAAAAAAUGAUAUGAAGUACUUCAAGAAUAUUUUCAGUUCUUUCAAUCUUAUUAACUAUGCAAUGUUUACCUGUUUUUCUGUCUCGUUUAGUGUGUGCAGUGGCAUCCCAACUGCAACUACAUUGCUACUGGCUCCAGUGACAAAACAGUUCGACUGUGGGAUGUGCAGAGCGGGGAAUGUGUUCGGGUUUUCAUUGGUCAUAGAAGUAUGAUUUUGUCUUUGGCAAUGUCCCCUGAUGGGCGCUAUAUGGCAUCUGGUGAUGAAGAUGGCACAAUCAUGACGUGGGACCUCUCUAGUGGCUGUUGUGUCACACCUCUAGUCAGUCACACCUCAUGUGUCUGGUCACUCGCUUUCAGGUGAUCCCCACAAACAACUCCGUCAACAUUUCAGCUUGAUCAUAGAAAUGAAAUCGAAAGGUAUUUUAGGUUGCUAUCAAAUUCUUAACAUCGCUUCUGUUCUUUGUUGUUGGACGUGUCAGUUGUGAAGGUUCUCUUCUAGCAUCUGGAUCUGCUGACUGCACUGUCAAAUUGUGGGAUGUUACUACAGGUAUAAAGGUUCCAAGGAAUGAAGAAAAGUAAGUAGUUUAUCUCACAUGAAAACAUACAACUAUCUCGUUAGAAAUUUUCUUUUCUAAUGGAAAAACUGACCGCGUGUGUUUUUCAUAUUAGUAGAAGUGGGAAUACUAACAGACUCAGAUCAUUAAAAAGCCUGCCAACCAAAUCUGCUUCAGUUUACUCUCUCCAGGUACAUUCACUAAUUACCCAUUCUUUGUUUACUAAUCCAUGGUUACUCUUGAUUCAACUUUUUAAAGAUUUAACUACUGUGUUAACUCUGUAUUGUGUUCCGGAGCAGUUUUCUCGCAGGAAUCUUCUUUUUGCAGCUGGAGCUCUUGCAAAAAGUGGUUUUUAGUAUGUCGACAAAUUUUGAAGUGGCAGUUCCGACUUAACACCAAAAAACAUAAUGUUGUGUUAUACCAUGUUUUUUAUUUGUAAAUUUAUUAGUAAAUUGAACUGAAAUUAUUCUCUCAGCAAGUUUUUGUAAUCCAUGCUAUUCAUAAUUCCCCACCCAUCAAUGUAUGAUAUACAUUGUAAAAUUAUUAAGAGACAGGAGGAAUUACUCUUUCUUAUCAAUUUGUUGCUUUAAUCCUCUUAUGUGACCUUGUUUAAUAUUUGAUUAAUAUUGCCCCUACUACCCUUGAAUGCUGCUAGAUGCAGAACUAGAUAUUAUUUUGCCCUGACUGUUGAAAUAUUGCUUCCAUUAUAGCAACAUGGAAUGAUACCCUAUUGUUUAUGAUUAGUGUUUUUACUAAAACUAGCGACAACAACGUAUGUUAUAUAAACCAAAAAGAGUAUUUAUCUUUAUUAAUUGUUAUAUUAAUACGUACUUGUACAUUUCACCUACAGCUGUGAAUAAAGUUCACGAUGGUCAAUCAUUUGAACUGGUUAAAUUUUAAGCUUGGACAAUAUCAGCAUAAUGUGAAAAAAAGUUGAGAUUAUCUUUUAAAAGAAAUGAAUUCCACGAGAUUUGCACCAUUCAAUGCCAUAAGAUUUAUCACACUUUUCUUCUGAUUUUAAACAUAAAAUAAUUUGGCCUUAAGUAAAUAUGAGUUAGUUUUAUCUAAUUAUUGAGUCAAUUUUUAAAUAUUUUUUAUUUUAUUUUUAUAUAUAUUUUUUCACAAUUUGGAAAAAACAUCUAAAUAAAAUUUGGUACCACUAAAUGAUAUUACUUUUUUAAUUAAUGUGAUCUUUUCUAUAGUGGGCAUACAUAUAUAAAAAAAAAAAAUAAGUAAUUAAUUUUCUCAACAUGAUCCUUAAAACUUCAGAAUGAAAGGUGACAUCCCAGAAACAUACAAGUUAGUAGUAUAUACUAUAAAAAAAUGUUACAAAUUUGGAAACUUCUAUCCUACCAAAAAGAAAUCACUAGGUACAAAUUUACAUGAAAAAGAAACCUUGCAUUAGUGAUACCAUCGAUUAUCAACAACCAUUGCCUCCAUUGUAGGGUCACUUUGAGAAUUCUACUGUACUAACAGUACAUAUUAAAACACCAUAAAACAUUCAAUAAUUGAUCUCCACUUGUAGGUUAGGGUGUCAUUAGACUAUCAUUAGUGUUACCAAACAUUCAUUAUUUGUAGCAUGCAGUAAUUGUUUAUUAGUAAAAACAAGGAACAUUAGUGGUUUAUGUCAGGUGUGGAGGAAGCGUGCUAGAUUAAGGGAUGCAUGUUAUGAACAAAAAAAGAAAUCAAAGAAUCAAAUAUCUGCAUCAAAAGCAUCAUAAUCAAUCAGUAAGCUUUGUUUGGUAUCUUUAGUCUUAAAACCUACUUCACUACUCACAAGUGCCCUUAAGAAUACCCUAAUAUCCAAAAACAAUUAUAACAUAUGGUCAGUAGGUACUUUUAGAAGAAAAAUAAUAUCAUUUUCUAUAAAUUAAUUUAUCUAUUAACUUAUUUUAUUUUAUGAUUUUUUAUUUUUUUAUUUUAAAAAAAAGGGCUUAUGAAAAAAAAUUCAAAGUCAUAUUUUGAUUAAUAUUGAAAUUCAUUUUGUCCUUACUUGGAAGGUCCCCGCAGGGCAAAACAAAGUGGUAACUAUUUACCAACAUUUGUCAAUAUGUAUUCAUAUGUAAUGAUUUUAUUUGGCUCGUAUUAAAAAUUGUUAAUAACACAUUCUUUAGGAGUUAAGCACAAUUUUAAACACUCUACUGAUAAUUAAAAUUAUAUAAACUUCACUCUUACAUGAGGUUCGUGUUACUUUUAAUAUAUGGAUAUUAGAUAAGAUGAAAACAUGUAUUAAAUUGUAUUUCGUUAAUAAUCUUUUAAUAAAAAACAACAUAUAAAAACAUGUAAGAAGGUUUACAAUAACUCACUCACACGCCCACCCUGUUCAAUGAAUUGAGGAAUCAAAUUAUGAUUGCAAUUGAAAUUUGGAGUUUAUCACAUGAACUAAUUGCUCAAAACAUUCUAUGAAAAUAUCACUUCUGAAUCAUAUAUUAUUAAUUAAGGCUGCAGACUAAUACAAACCAUCACCAGCAUCUUCAAAAAGCUGUCUGCAAAGAAGAUGCAAAUAUACUAUAAAGUUUGCAUACCAGCAGGCAUGAUAAUCAAGAAUGAACACUAAGAUCAUUAUCAAAACAAGUAAAACACUGUUUAAUAGCAUGUAGAGAAAAAAAACAUCACAGACACAUUCAAGAAGAAAAAAACUCCUUAAAAGACCAAACUACAGUUUGGAAAGUUAUUCUUUAUCAAAAUAAAUAAAAAGUGUCUUGCAUAAACCAAACAUAUUAUAUACCUAGGUGAAAAUUAUGUAUAUGCUUCCAAAUAAAAUAAUAUAUAAUUCAAGAAAAUUGAUAUGUGAUAUCAUACAUAAAAACUGCUAAUUGUGCAUUCACUGGAACAAAAAACCCGUAAUGAAAGGUGAAGACGAAUCUCGUUUCCAAUACUCAAUUUUUUUGAUUGUGUAUUCAUUUGUAUAUGUUGAAGUUCUUAUCUGGACUGUUUCUAUUAUGACAUGAGCCUAAGAUCAUCAUAAAACUUUUUUUUUUUUUACAAGCAAAAUACAUAUAUUAAAUACCAUUCUGCAAAAGAAGUGCAGUUGAAUCGCAUUCACACGACAACAAAAGCAAAUAUCUCCAAAACAUUUGUGAAGCAAAAUACAAGCAUGUGACAAAAUAGUAAGAACCCUGCAUAAUUUUCUCUACCAACCUACCCUUUAACAUUCUUUUCAUUGAAAUGGCCUCCUAACAUUCAUUUGGGUCAGUUUUUGCCUCAUCUUGUCAAAGAAAAACUGCUCUUGAAGUUGCCUCAACCAAGCUUUUACCUAAUGACAGCAAUGCCAAGGUUAUAAAUUAUGCAACUUUACUCAAUAUGCAGUCACCACCUCAGUAACAAUUGGAGAAAAUUAUUCAGCUUCAUUUAAACAUGUACAAAAGAAUCAACAGUGAUUAGAAUAGAUUAUGUGGAUAAGACUUUUGUUGUUGCUAUUGUUUGGAUAUAGUAUAAAAGCAUUUUAUACAUGUUUUGGUAAAUAUAAUAACUGUUUCAGUAUUCAAAAGUCAUAGAUAGUUCUUAAGAUAGUUAAAGAUUUGAAACAUUGAAUAUAACAAACCUCUCCUACUUCAACAAUUUUUCUUCUAAGUUAUGGUUGUGACUAAUCCAUAACAACAAAUUAUCACAAGAGUCGAUCAUAACCUUAAAUUUCAAAAUCAUGUUAUUGGACCAAAGAUCCAUAGAGCUCUCAACAACACUGCACCUGUAUAAAUAAUAUAACUGUCGAAAUCAUAAAUGAAAUAAUUAUCCAUCACUUCCAACAAAGUGAACUUUUCCAUUAUAUACACCAUUUAUAUUGCCAUUUUAUUUUGGGUUGUCGUUGUGCUAACUGUGUAUGUUCAUAUUGUCUCUAUCAGUCCAACUACAAACUGAUAUAUUACAGAAAGAAAUGCAAAAAAAAUAGCUACAAAAUAUAGAAAUUUAUACUAACGACUACAAAUUUAUUUAUAAUCACAAAAGUACAUAAAUCAAAUAGAAAUUAGACCAUCAAUAAAAUCACAAUAAUAUAAAAAGUUGCACAAAUUAGCCAGUUACCUUAACAGAAUCAGGAGAUUGCGUGUCAUUCAUUCGACAGCAUCUUAAAAUUCUCUCAAGCCUAUUAGUAUCAACAAAAGAUCAAUUUCCAACUUAAAAUCAUAAGAUAAUUGGAUGCACUGCUCAAAACUGCAUUAGAUCAUGCCACAAAUCAUCGAAUAUGACUCUUGAAGAAAUGUUAACAAAUAGAGCAUUCAGUUAUAAGAAAGGAGGUAGGUAUGCUAGUUUCCUUAACAUGUCUUAAGGCUAUUAGUUCUGAAAAGUUGUUUUAGCUAUACUUUUAUUUAUUUAUGUAGAUGUAGGACCAUGCAAGGUGAAUUUGUCUAACCACUACACGUACAACUGGAAUAAAGAGUUUGAUUGCUAAACCUUUUCAGUAACAAAUUGAUAUGUGUUUCUUGUCCGACACAGCCACGAUAUAAAAAUAUCAGCACUCUUUCAAUGUGAUGAAUAAAGAGCAAUUAUAACAAGUACAUAUUUUACUGUUAUAAGGAAGGUAAUACAACAGUUACAACUAAGAAAGAUUCAGUUUAUGCUUUGUAUCAGCUCAGCAUCAAACUCAACAAGAAAAGUUGCAAACUGUUCACAUAAAAUGCAUAUUUAUCAGGUUAUUGAGAUCCAACCAGAACCUUAAAGCAGUAUUAGAAAACAUAGGAAAAAGAAAAAAACAAAAAAUAACAAAGUAAAAUCAUUUGACCACUGCUCACCAAACUCCUGUUUCAAAAUGGGGUAUUAUUCUGACAAGUUUUGGUGGGUAAUGAUAAACCCUAUAUUCAUCACCCUAAGAAUAGGGUUGUUUGCUAAGAAUGAGAGCAGCACAAAAUAGUAGCGUUUGGAGAUUGUAACUAAUUGAGCCAAAUACUGCUUCAGGUGAGAACAUUACAGCAAUGAACAACUUGAUGGCCCGCAUACUCUAUAUACUUAAAAUAUGAAAGGCUAUGAAAUCAGAAAAACGAUAUAAUAGCUAGCUAGAUGCUAGAAAGUGAACAACAACAAGUGUGGACCAUACUAUAUAACGUGUAUGGUCCCUCCCACUCGCUACCAUACAAAUACACAUAAAAAAGCUAAAAAAACGGUGCCCCUCAAGGUCUGCACAAUAACCAGGGUACCUUGUGCAAGGUAAUGCUAUCAAAAGUCACACUUAUCCAUUUUGUAAGGACUAGUAUACUAUAAACCAUAAUAAAGCCAAUCAAACAACACGUAUGCUCCAGUUUGAACUAUAAUUAUAGUAACAGUUAAAAUAAAACAAAAUAACAAGAUACAUAUUAGCAAAACACCAAAGACAUAUAUAACUUUACUCACUGUUAAUGUUAAUGAAAUAUAUAACCACAGUAAGAGACAUUUUUUCAUGAGCUGCAUCAGAGAGAGAGACAGAGAAGAUGAUGUGGUUUGUUUAUGGAGCAACUUAGUAGACUGGAGAAUUUUCUGGCACUGAAAACCGACAGAAAGAGUAGUGAGCACACAAAAGCAGUGAUAUAGAGUUAUAUCAUAUGCCUCUUUGUGCUCACUCUCUUCUGUCAAUUUCUGUCCAAAUAGAAGGAAUUAAAGAAACUAAGUACACAUACAAUAGCAUCCCAAAUAUGGAAAGUUCACAACAAAAGGUUUGGAAAAACCUGAAGGGAAAAAUAAAAGCCACACAACUGAGUCAGAUCUGGGGAGGAAAAAUGUGAUAUCCAUUAAAGGAAAACUUCACGAACCUGGUGUGCUAAAAAGGUGGAAAAUCUAGGAUCUGACAUGCAUGUUCUCAGAGGAACACAAUUCUGAGAAUUUAGGGUUUGUCACCAACAACCUCAGUCCCACAAAUAAGGACACAAACCAGAAAAACAAACCCCAGAAGAUGAAUCAAGAGACGAGGAAGAGGAUGAAAUGAUUUUGAGACGAUAAAAAAGAACAAAAAAAAAAGGGUAUUAACACCAUAAAACAAACUCCAAUCAAAACCAUGUUGGAACACACAAAACUCCUUCUCUCUCUCUCUUCAUGUCUGACUUUCUGUACAUUGAGUCAGAAAGAGUCAUGCAAAACGUAGAGCUGACAAGUAGCAAGGUUACCAGAUCGGUGUGACAGAUCUAUGUGCAUGAUGGGGUGUGAGAAACUGAGAGGGUUGCAAUAAAUAGAUGAGAAAGUGGUGAGUUGAAAUGAAAUAAAAAGAGCAAAAAGAGAAUGCAAUUUGUUAUGUGUGUAGGAGUAGGAAAAGGGCAAAGAUCUUAUCCUAACAAUGGAAAUGGAAAUGGAAAUGGAGCAGCCUUUUGGUUUUGGUGUGUGGAGUGUGUGAAGUGUGUGGAAGAGAGUGGUAGAUAUAUAGUAGUUUAAUGGUACACUCAGAGAAAAUGGGGUUUGGGUUUCCCACUUACGCUAGCAAAAUUAUCAUUAUUAUCAUCACCCAUUCUCUCUCACUCUUCUCUUUUUGGGAACACAAA